rnacentral:rRNA from 1 species
UACGUAGGGUGCGAGCGUUAAUCGGAAUUACUGGGCGUAAAGGGUGCGCAGGCGGCUCCGCAUGUCGGGUGUGAAAUCCCCAGGCUUAACCUGGGAACUGCAUUCGAGACUGCAUUGCUAGAGUAUGGGAGAGGGAAGUGGAAUUUCCGGUGUAGCGGUGAAAUGCGUAGAUAUCGGAAGGAACAUCAGUGGCGAAAGCGACUUCCUGGACCAAUACUGACGCUCAGUGAUGACGAACGUGGG